rnacentral:rRNA from 1 species
CAGCCGCCGCGGGAAAACGGAGGGAGCUAGCGUUGUUCGGAAUUACUGGGCGUAAAGCGCACGUAGGCGGCUAUUCAAGUCAGAGGUGAAAGCCCGGGGCUCAACCCCGGAACUGCCUUUGAAACUAGAUAGCUUGAAUCCAGGAGAGGUGAGUGGAAUUCCGAGUGUAGAGGUGAAAUUCGUAGAUAUUCGGAAGAACACCAGUGGCGAAGGCGGCUCACUGGACUGGUAUUGACGCUGAGGUGCGAAAGCGUGGGGAGCAAACAGGAUUAGAGACCCGAGUAGUCCCUGUCUCUUAUAC